CGGAGCUGCGAUAUACCACUUCGACCGAACCACCGAAAUGAAGCUUCCCACGUCGCCAAUGGAGGGGAAUAACAGGGAUCACAACGACAGUUCCCACAGCCAAGUAAGUCCCCUCUCGUCUUGAUCGCCAUGCCUCUCUGUUCAUAUUUGUGUUCUUAUAUUAAUGUAACACUAUAAGCUCUUGAGGGUUAUUGUAUGUAGCAUGCAAUGUAAAUGUUGAAUGUUUUGUUUUUUAAGUUGUUUUUCUUGCGUGUUAUGAGCCAAAUUACCUAUAAUUUAGGUGGUUUUGACAGAGUGAAGAAGUAGUCAAAAAUUGUAGCCAGAUUUGGGUUCAAAGUUUCGCUGCGCCGCCAUGACUUUGUUUUGUUUUUGCCCACUUCAACAUGUAAAACUAUGAACCUGGCCAUAUUUUUACUAUUGGAACAUUUAAUUGAUCAUAUAGGAAGGAGAACAGAAAGCAAUGACGACAAAAAAAAAACAUGCCGAUGUAAAGAGAUGUCUCUCUUUGUUCUGACGAUACAAAACUUUAGUUUACAUCUCCUGUAUGGCAGUGAUGGGAAUGAUUUUUAUUUUCUUCUUUUGCACAACUCCUGCAUCCAUUCUCUUAAUGCUUUUCGACGAUUGCGUGGAUUGAUGCAUACUUUUCAUAAUAAAGUUUGCAAGUAUCAGAGGGCGAUAAUUAGCAGGAUUUCUUUAUAUGGCCACUGAGGUUUUACCUAGAACCAUACACGGCAGACUACAUGGUACUGUAGCGGCAAAUUUAGCGGUCAGAUCGUUAAUAAUCAACACACUGUAGUGUUGUUUCCAUCUUGAAUUCAAAGUUCCAGAGUUGGUAUGCUGUAGUAGUAGAGAUAAUCAAGCAAUUUUCACGCUAGAGAGAUUUUAGUUCCUGUCACCAUGUGUAACUAUUCUCUGUUUGGUAUUUCUGAAUAAAUUUAUGGCAGCUAAAUAAUGGAUGCUUGAUUUAUGUUGCAGCAACUGGACAACGAAGAUAGACUCAGCGCUCUAACUGAUGAUAUUUUACUGUCCAUCUUGGGGAGAGUCAGUUCACUUGUGGCUACAAGGACAAGUGUGCUCUCUACACGGUGGAGGCAUCUGCCUUGGUUGCUGCCUGAACUCAGCAUCGAUGUCCAGGAUUUCCUAUCCGCUCCAUACGCUGACCUUGUUGAGGCAAAUGAUAUGGAACAAGCCAUGGUGUCUUUGUCCAAAGCAACCAGGAGUUUGUUAGAUAAACAACAGAGAGGAUCCACUAUCUCAAGUUUGCGCCUUAACCUCUAUUUGACCAACACUUUCCUUUGCGAAGUUGGCUCACUGUUAGGUGAUGCAAUCGACAGUGGUUUGUUGAAAGAUUUAGAUCUCGGCAUUCUUGAUGAGACAAAGACUCUGGACCGUAGAGACGAAGAGAUGCAACAGCGAGCUCAAGACAUAGAUGUUUUUUUCACUGCCUAUCCUAGUGUGCUCCACUACCUCACAAAGCUCUUUCUAAAAAAUGUAGGCUUUGACAAAUUGGACAUGCACCAUGUCCUGUUUGACUGCUGCAAGCAACUUAAGCAUCUAACCCUUUAUCAUUGUGAUACUGGUUCCUACUCUGUCUUUAAGAUUGAUGCGCCAGACUCAAAACUCUGUGUUCUUGAAAUUGAGAAGUGUCGCUUUCUGAGAAUCGACCUUGUCUGCCUCCCCAAAUUGGAGAAGUUCUUUUGUGAGUCUUGGAUAUCUCAGUGUGCCCCGUUGACCUUUGGUUUUGUACCAUCACUUGGGCAAUUAGAACUCUCAUGUGGUUCAGUUUGUGAGGAAGACAUAUUUAAAUUAAGUUAGCUUCUACAUGGAGUAACAAGCAUACAUACUCUCUCAUUGGAUUUCCAAGGUGAAGCCCUUUGGUUGCAACCUGAAAUGGAGGAACUCCGCACCGCAUUCAGCAAGCUAAGGAAGCUGUACGUACGUUGUAUAUUUGUUGAAUUUGACAUUUUAUGGACAACGGCCUUUCUUGUAGCAGCACCAUCUGUCGAAAUGUUACAUAUUGAGGUAUGGGAACAUACAUGCGAUUUGGGCGAGGCCAGACCCGCUUCCUACCUUGACAGGAGUCCAAAGUGGGAAAUGCACUUGGAUAGCAGCUCCGAGAACAAGUUUCUGAAAGAGCUAGAAUUCGCUGGAUUUAAAUCGCUAGAACAACAGUUUACAUUUAUAAGGUCCAUGUUGGAGCGAUCUCCCAACUUGCAAAAGAUAGUAUUGAGAGAUGAUGAGCAGUGUGCUGAUUGUGGCGCCCUUGAGGCACCUCGUCUUUCGAGAUUUCCACGCAAGGAGGAGCAAGAAGUGGUUGUUAAGCGGAUUAGAGAUGGCAUGUUCUCGCCGGAGAUAAAUUUUCAUGGAUAAGGAGAGA